rnacentral:rRNA from 1 species
GAUGAACGCUGGCGGCGUGCCUAAUACAUGCAAGUCGAGCGAACGGACGAGAAGCUUGCUUCUCUGAUGUUAGCGGCGGACGGGUGAGUAACACGUGGAUAACCUACCUAUAAGACUGGGAUAACUUCGGGAAACCGGAGCUAAUACCGGAUAAUAUUUUGAACCGCAUGGUUCAAAAGUGAAAGACGGUCUUGCUGUCACUUAUAGAUGGAUCCGCGCUGCAUUAGCUAGUUGGUAAGGUAACGGCUUACCAAGGCAACGAUGCAUAGCCGACCUGAGAGGGUGAUCGGCCACACUGGAACUGAGACACGGUCCAGACUCCUACGGGAGGCAGCAGUAGGGAAUCUUCCGCAAUGGGCGAAAGCCUGACGGAGCAACGCCGCGUGAGUGAUGAAGGUCUUCGGAUCGUAAAACUCUGUUAUUAGGGAAGAACAUAUGUGUAAGUAACUGUGCACAUCUUGACGGUACCUAAUCAGAAAGCCACGGCUAACUACGUGCCAGCAGCCGCGGUAAUACGUAGGUGGCAAGCGUUAUCGGGAAUUAUUGGGCGUAAAGCGCGCGUAGGCGGUUUUUUUAAGUCUGAUGUGAAAGCCCACGGCUCAUUCGUGGAGGGCCAUUGGAAACUGGAAAACUUGAGUGCAGAAGAGGAAAGUGGAAUUCCAUGUGUAGCGGUGAAAUGCGCAGAGAUAUGGAGGAACACCAGUGGCGAAGGCGACUUUCUGGUCUGUAACUGACGCUGAUGUGCGAAAGCGUGGGGAUCAAACAGGAUUAGAUACCCUGGUAGUCCACGCCGUAAACGAUGAGUGCUAAGUGUUAGGGGGUUUCCGCCCCUUAGUGCUGCAGCUAACGCAUUAAGCACUCCGCCUGGGGAGUACGACCGCAAGGUUGAAACUCAAAGGAAUUGACGGGGACCCGCACAAGCGGUGGAGCAUGUGGUUUAAUUCGAAGCAACGCGAAGAACCUUACCAAAUCUUGACAUCCUUUGACAACUCUAGAGAUAGAGCCUUCCCCUUCGGGGGACAAAGUGACAGGUGGUGCAUGGUUGUCGUCAGCUCGUGUCGUGAGAUGUUGGGUUAAGUCCCGCAACGAGCGCAACCCUUAAGCUUAGUUGCCAUCAUUAAGUUGGGCACUCUAAGUUGACUGCCGGUGACAAACCGGAGGAAGGUGGGGAUGACGUCAAAUCAUCAUGCCCCUUAUGAUUUGGGCUACACACGUGCUACAAUGGACAAUACAAAGGGCAGCGAAACCGCGAGGUCAAGCAAAUCCCAUAAAGUUGUUCUCAGUUCGGAUUGUAGUCUGCAACUCGACUACAUGAAGCUGGAAUCGCUAGUAAUCGUAGAUCAGCAUGCUACGGUGAAUACGUUCCCGGGUCU